AUGCCAAGACCAAGACUUGGGAAUAGCAUAUCAUGGACCAUAUAUUGUGCCUGUCUCUGGUCAUUCCAUUGUCGUUCCCUUACAGUAGCUGUUCUCCCUCUUCCAACCAAUAUGGCUGCUAAGCUUGGGCAUCUAGCCCAAGGAGCUGCAUCGGUACUUUGCCUGUUGAUUUUCUUUGUAGAGCCGUCUGAUUCCCGUGCUCAGGCGAGGAUAUCAGGUGGGAAUGGAACCUGCAUCAGCAGGGAGCGGGAUGCGCUUCUGUCCUUCAAGGCGGGCCUUCUGGACCCUGCUGGCCGUCUCUCCUCAUGGCAUGGUGAAGAUUGCUGUCAGUGGGCGGGAGUCCGGUGCAGCAGCAGAACAGGCCAUGUCGUAAAGCUCGACCUCCGCAACAACUACGUAGUAAGUGCCUUCCAAGGUUUGUACACCAUGCACUACUACAAGUCCAACAGCCUGAGCUUGUCGAGAAAUGAGAUGAGCUCUUCUUUGGCUGCUUUGCAACAGUUGAGGUAUCUUGACAUGAGCUACAAUGACUUCAACCACAUAAGCAUUCCUGCGUUCAUGGGCUCCCUACAGAAGCUAAGGUAUCUCAACCUCUCGUCGUCAGGUUUCGGUGGGAGAAUACCUUCCCAACUCGGUAAUCUCUCAAAUCUGCAAUAUCUUGAUAUUAGUGGGGAUUAUUACAAUGUUCUGUACACGUUGGACCUCUCAUGGUUGUCACAUCUAUCACUGUUGAGCUAUCUUGACUUGACCGAAGUGGACCUCCGUGCUGUGCGGGGUUGGGUUCACAUGGUUAACGGGCUUUCUUCUCUAAAAGUGCUUCGCUUAGUAGAUUGUGGCCUUACCAGCAUAGUGUCUGCUACUUCAAAAUCAAAUCUCACACAUCUCCAAGUCCUUGAUCUAUCAUCCAACUCAUUUGACGCAACACUAGAGCAUAACUGGUUCUUCUGGGAUCUCACAAGCCUGAAGGAGCUUCACCUCUCCCGUUGUGAGUGGCAUGGACCUAUUCCUGAACAAUUGGCAAACAUGACAUCCCUUGAAGUAAUAGAUUUUAGUGCAAAUGAUCUUGUGGGUUUGAUACCGAACAACUUAGAAAAUUUGUGCAGUUUGAAAGUGCUGAAUUUUGAUGAUAACAACAUUGAUGCGAGUAUUGGGGAGUUCAUGGAUCGGUUGCCAUGGUGCUCAUGGAGUACAUUACAGAAGUUGUCAAUGAGGAAUACGACUAUGACCGGAAACCUACCGCUAGAAGUUGGAGCACUUGGUAACUUGACAUUGUUGAGUCUCGGCAAUAAUAAACUCGAUGGUGUGCUCGUGAAGGAACAUUUUUCAGGCUUAUUGAAUUUAGAGUAUCUGGACUUGUCGGACAACUCCUUGAAAAUGGAUAUUGAACCAAAUUGGAUUCCUCCGUUUAGACUAAAGCACAUAAAUUUAGAGUCAUGCACAGUAGGCCCCCGUUUUCCAGAGUGGCUUAGAUGGCAAACUCGCAUUGAUUAUCUUCUUCUUGGAAAUACAAGUUUGGAUGAUGUUAUUCCUGAUUGGUUUUGA
rnacentral:rRNA from 1 species